UGUGCGGAAGGGAUAAGUGCUGAAAGCAUCUAAGCAUGAAGCCCCCCUCAAGAUGAGAUUUCCCACAGUUUAACUGGUAAGAUCCCUGAAAGAUGAUCAGGUUGAUAGGUCCGGGGUGGAAGCGCGGCGACGCGUGCAGCUGACGGAUACUAAUCGAUCGAGGACUUAACCAC
rnacentral:rRNA from 1 species